UGAAAAGUUCGAAGGAGACGAGUUGAGAAAAGAUGGCGAGGUGAAGAAAUACUUGGAUAUCAUCAGCAACAAAAACAUCAAACUGUCGGAGCGCGUGCUGAUCCCGGUGCAGCAGUAUCCUAAGUUUAAUUUUGUUGGCAAACUGCUGGGGCCCAGGGGCAAUUCCAUGAAAAGAUUACAAGAGGAAACGGGAGCAAAGAUGUCCAUCCUCGGCAAGGGUUCAAUGAGGGAUAAAGGCAAGGAGGAAGAGCUGAGGAAAAGUGGAGAGGCGAAACACGCCCAUUUGAGCAACGAUCUUCAUGUUUUAAUUGAAGUUUUCGCACCACCUGGAGAAGCCUAUUCCCGCAUGAGCCAUGCCCUGGAGGAGAUUAAGAAAUUCCUUG